AUUGAACGCUGGCGGCAGGCCUAACACAUGCAAGUCGAGCGGAUGAAGGGAGCUUGCUCCUGGAUUCAGCGGCGGACGGGUGAGUAAUGCCUAGGAAUCUGCCUGGUAGUGGGGGAUAACGUCCGGAAACGGGCGCUAAUACCGCAUACGUCCUGAGGAGAAAGUGGGGGAUCUUCGGACCUCACGCUAUCAGAUGAGCCUAGGUCGGAUUAGCUAGUUGGUGGGGUAAAGGCCUACCAAGGCGACGAUCCGUAACUGGUCUGAGAGGAUGAUCAGUCACACUGGAACUGAGACACGGUCCAGACUCCUACGGGAGGCAGCAGUGGGGAAUAUUGGACAAUGGGCGAAAGCCUGAUCCAGACAUGCCGCGUGUGUGAAGAAGGUCUUCGGAUUGUAAAGCACUUUAAGUUGGGAGGAAGGGCAGUAAGUUAAUACCUUGCUGUUUUGACGUUACCAACAGAAUAAGCACCGGCUAACUUCGUG
rnacentral:rRNA from 1 species